AAAGCUGUUGAGCACAGCAGAGCUCCCAGAGUACUGUGGUGGACAACGUUUCUUUGUUCUCUGGCUUUCAAGUUUAAGGGGUGCUUGGACUAUCUUGCAUCGGUGGAUAUGAAAAUAGUGGUAACCUACCCUACGAAACAGCUGUUUGCACAUAAGCUUAACAGUUCCCUGUGAGAUGCUGUGAAAGUCAGCAGGGAAGUGCGAUAUAGAAGAAACGACUGCCAGAAGCUUGCUAAGGAACCGCACAGCCUGUGUGGGCAGCAGACAAAAUAUUCAU